GCCGGAAUGGUGGAAUAGGUAGACACAAGGGACUUAAAAUCCCUCGGACCUUAUACGUCCGUGCCAGUUCGAUUCUGGUUUCCGGCA
rnacentral:tRNA from 1 species